AUGGCAGCCACCAUGGGCUCGGGAGUAAAAGUCCCUCGCAAUUUCCGACUGUUGGAAGAACUCGAAGAAGGUCAGAAAGGAGUAGGAGAUGGCACAGUUAGCUGGGGCCUAGAAGAUGACGAAGACAUGACACUUACAAGAUGGACAGGGAUGGUAAUUGGGCCUCCAAGAACAAUUUAUGAAAACCGAAUAUAUAGCCUUAAAAUAGAAUGUGGACCUAAAUACCCAGAAGCACCCCCCUUUGUAAGAUUUGUAACAAAAAUUAAUAUGAAUGGAGUUAAUAGUCCUAAUGGAGUGGUGGACCCAAGAGCCAUAUCAGUGCUAGCAAAAUGGCAGAAUUCAUAUAGCAUCAAAGUUGUUCUGCAAGAGCUUCGGCGUUUAAUGAUGUCUAAAGAAAAUAUGAAACUUCCUCAGCCACCUGAAGGACAGUGUUACAGCAAUUAAUCAAAAACCCCACAGGCCCUCCCCACCAGCCCGCACCCCGAUUCGAUUUAAACAGUCUUCAUUUUCCACAGUAAUAAAUUUUCUAGUUACGUCUUGUAGACCUCAAAGUACUGGAAAGAAAGCUCCCAUUCAAGGCAUUUUAUCUUAAGAUACUGUAAAUGAUACUAAUUUUUUGUCCAUUUGAAUAUAUAAGUUGUGCUAUAACAAAUCAUCCUGUCAGGUGUAACCACUGUCCACACAGUUGAGCUUCUGGGAUCAAGAAAGGAUAUUUAAAUUGAUCCCCGUCUGGACUGAUGGGGCGCAUCUAACUUAACUGUGAAAAGACACGUCACACAGUCACCUUGCUGCUGAUGUCACGGCCCAGGCGUUGCCUGCCCACCCCACCCCCACCCUGCCUCCACCGCCUGGAGCCCUGGCCUGGGUGGCUGGUUGAGUCCAUGUGAAGGCUUCAGGUUGCCGCCUGUGGGACUACUGUUGGGUGUGGGGGUGCUUUGCCUGUGCCCUGGCUUCUUUUUUUAAGUCUUCAGUGACACCCCCUUCCAAGCCAUCGACCUGUCCCACUCUCCUCCACUCCCACCCUUGGCUGAAGCAUAGAUUGUAACCCUCCAACCCCCUCUGAAAUUGGCCUUCGGUGAGGAAUUCAGGGCUUUCCCCAUCUCUCCCCCACCUUGAUCGAGGGGUGCUGCUUUUCCUCUUCCUCCUUCCCUUUGUCACACUGUCACCCCAACGCUCUCCAUGCCCCUUCCUUCCUCUGGCCAGAAGCCAUCAGGUAAGGUUGGAAAGAGUCUCUGACCUCCCUCCUUUAGCUUUGGAACCACAGUCAUUCAUUCUGCACCAGCCUGGGAAGUGAGUACCGGGCCCCGGGCUGCCGCCUGCUUCCACCAUCGGCCGAUGUCAGCUCAGGUGUGAUG